rnacentral:rRNA from 1 species
AAAUAUUUUUUUAAUUUUUUUUUGUUAUAAAAGUUUUUUUUUUAUUAUUUCUUUUUUUAAAAUUUUAUUUAUUUUUAUAGUUUAUUAUUAAAGUGAUUGAAAUUGAUUUAUUUAAUUUAAAGAAGAAUUAUUUUUUUUUACCUUUUGUAUCAGGGUUAAUAAAUUAAUUUUUUUAUAUUUAAUUUUUCCCGAAUUAAUAAGAGCUAAAAUAUUAUUUAUUUAAUUGUUUUAUAAAUUUUUUUAAUAUUAUUUUUGUAAUGAAAUGUUAUUCGUUUAUUAAAAUAUCUGGUUUUUUUAGAAAAAAGUUUAAUUUUUUGAGCUAUUAAUAUUCUUUAGUUUUGAAGGUUAUUUAUUAGUUUUUUAGGUCUUUAGGGUUAAGCUUUAAGACUAAUUUAUUAAAAAUGUAAAAUAUUUAGAUUUAAGUUUGAUUAGAGUUUUCAAUCUUUAUAUAAAUUAAUUAUUAUGUUUUAUUGAUUUAUUUUUUUGUUUAUUUUAAUUUUUUUAUUAAAAUUUUUUAAUUAAUUAUUUUUUUUUAGUAAUAAUGAUUAAAUUAGUAAAAAUUAAAUUUUUUAUUUUUUUUAGAUAAUUUAAAGGAACUAGGCAAAAUUUAAAAUUUCUGCCUGUUUAUUAAAAACCUCUCUUUUUGAAAAUGAUUUAAGGUUUGAUCUGCUCAAUGAUUAUUUAAAUUGCUGCAGUAAUUUAACUGUACAAAGGUAGCAUAAUAAUUUGUUUUUUAAUUGAAAACUUGAAUGAAUGAUUAGACAAGAAAUUUACUGUCUCUAAAUUAACUUUUGAAUUUUACUUUAAAGUUAAAAGGCUUUAAUUAUUUUGAGGGACGAGAAGACCCUAUAGAGUUUUAUUUAUUUUUAAUUUAAUAAGUUUAUAUAAUUUAGUUUUUUUUUUUAAGAAUAAUUUUAGUUGGGGUUAUUAGAAGAUUAAAUAAAUUUUUUUUUUGUUUAUCAUUUAUAAAUGAUUUUAUUAUGUUUAUUUAAAAAAUAUAAAAAAAAUUACCUUAGGGAUAACAGCGUUAUUUUUAUUAGAAGUUCUUAUUUUAAUAAAGGUUUGCGACCUCGAUGUUGGAUUAAAAUUAAUUUUUGAUGUAGGUGUCAAUAUUUUAAGUCUGUUCGACUUUUAAAAUUUUACAUGAUCUGAGUUUAAACCGGUGUAAGCCAGGUUGGUUUUUAUCUUUAAAAAAUUAAAAUUUCUUAGUACGAAAGGACUUGAUUUUUGAUUAAUAAUUUUUGUUUAGAAUUAUAUUG